UAUACACUGAAAUCCAAAUAAAAAAUUCUCUAUUUGCACUUUUCCUUUUCAAAACCUAAAUUCGGAAAAACCCUAACCUCCCCAAGUCUCACUUUCUUCCUAUUUUCGUCUCUUUCUUUCCUGCUACCUCUCACAUCUACAACUAGCAUGCUUCAUCUCCCUUUUGUUUCCUAUGACGAGGACUCCCUUUUGUUUCCUAUGACGAGGAGGCCUGCAACCAAGGAGUGGAAUAAGGGAAAGGAAUUUUAGAUCACGAUGAAGAUGAAUCAUGGGUAGAUCGACGUCGCUUUUUUCUCUGCUCCUCAGUCUAUGGGCUUCUCUACAACUCAAACCCACAACCUAUUCAAUUUCUCCUCCUCUUCACACUAAUUAGAUAUAUGAUGUAAAUUUUGCUAUCCGAGGCUUGAAAAAAAUCACAUAAGGCUUUUGUGGCUGCUAAUUUACUCUUGCAAGAGGCACAAGAUAGGGACAGUAUCACUUCCAUUAGUCAUUUAGGUCUCAUUGGUAGUACAGAUUAAGUCGACCCUAUAUAUCUAAUGUGCACUUGGAAUCAAGAAGAAAAAAAAUGAAAAAAGAAGCCAAUUGGACCUAUACUUGGAAUCCAUCAAAGGGGUUGUCAUUCCUCUUUGUACAUGUGUGCAAAAAGUGAAAUUGAUUUUUGAAUUUUAUAAUGUAUUAUUUCAAUGUCCAACUUGGGCAUGACAUGUUCCCCAGUUUUCAUAUGGGUGAUAAGGACUUUCUAUAUUGCUACCAUUUAUUUGAAUUUUUAGUGAAAUAGAAAAUCAAGCUCUUGGGGAAUAUUUCUUGUAUAUAAGAACCCUUAACUGUGUUGGCUUUCCCUAGUUUAAAAACUAUUUGAAUACAUAUAUAUCUAAUAUUUUAUCA